rnacentral:rRNA from 1 species
CCGGAGCUUGCUCCACCGGAAAAAGAAGAGUGGCGAACGGGUGAGUAACACGUGGGUAACCUGCCCAUCAGAAGGGGAUAACACUUGGAAACAGGUGCUAAUACCGUAUAACAAUCGAAACCGCAUGGUUUUGAUUUGAAAGGCGCUUUCGGGUGUCGCUGAUGGAUGGACCCGCGGUGCAUUAGCUAGUUGGUGAGGUAACGGCUCACCAAGGCCACGAUGCAUAGCCGACCUGAGAGGGUGAUCGGCCACAUUGGGACUGAGACACGGCCCAAACUCCUACGGGAGGCAGCAGUAGGGAAUCUUCGGCAAUGGACGAAAGUCUGACCGAGCAACGCCGCGUGAGUGAAGAAGGUUUUCGGAUCGUAAAACUCUGUUGUUAGAGAAGAACAAGGAUGAGAGUAACUGUUCAUCCCUUGACGGUAUCUAACCAGAAAGCCACGGCUAACUACGUGCCAGCAGCCGCGGUAAUACGUAGAGUGGCACGCGUUGUCCGGAUUUAUUGGGCGUAAAGCGAGCGCACGCUGUUUCUUAAGUCUGAUGUGAAAGCCCCCGGCUCAACCGGGGAGGGUCAUUGGAAACUGGGAGACUUGAGUGCA